CGUAGUGGAAAAGCUGCUACGGCAGUACUGACAGAGGAGCCCGCGGCGCAUUAGCUAGUUGGUGGGGUAACGGCUCACCAAGGCGACGAUGCGUAGCCGACCUGAGAGGGUGACCGGCCACACUGGGACUGAGACACGGCCCAGACUCCUACGGGAGGCAGCAGUAGGGAAUCUUCCGCAAUGGGCGCAAGCCUGACGGAGCAACGCCGCGUGAGCGAAGAAGGCCUUCGGGUUGUAAAGCUCAGUCAUUCGGGAAGAGCGGACGGGAGAGGGAAUGCUCCUGUCGAGACGGUACCGGAAGAGGAAGCCCCGGCUAACUACGUG
rnacentral:rRNA from 1 species